GACGAACGCUGGCGGCGUGCUUAACACAUGCAAGUCGAACGGCAAGGCCCUGCUUUUGUGGGGUGCUCGAGUGGCGAACGGGUGAGUAACACGUGAGUAACCUGCCCUUGACUUUGGGAUAACUUCAGGAAACUGGGGCUAAUACCGGAUAGGAGCUCCUGCUGCAUGGUGGGGGUUGGAAAGUUUCGGCGGUUGGGGAUGGACUCGCGGCUUAUCAGCUUGUUGGUGGGGUAGUGGCUUACCAAGGCUUUGACGGGUAGCCGGCAUGAGAGGGUGACCGGCCACAAUGGGACUGAGAUACGGCCCAGACUCCUACGGGAGGCAGCAGUGGGGAAUAUUGCACAAUGGGCGGAAGCCUGAUGCAGCAACGCCGCGUGCGGGAUGACGGCCUUCGGGUUGUAAACCGCUUUCGCCUGUGACGAAGCGUGAGUGACGGUAAUGGGUAAAGAAGCACCGGCUAACUACGUG
rnacentral:rRNA from 1 species